rnacentral:rRNA from 2 species
AUUCGGGAUCAUACCAGCACUAAUGUACCGGACCCCAUCAGAAUUCUGCAGUUAGGCAUCUUUGGACGAGAGUAGUAUUAGGAUGGGUGACCUCCAGGAAAGUCCUCGCGUUGCACCCC